rnacentral:rRNA from 1 species
UACAGAGGGGGCGAGCGUUGUUCGGAAUUACUGGGCGUAAAGGGCGCGUAGGCGGCCUGCUAAGUCGGACGUGAAAUCCCUCGGCUCAACCGGGGAACUGCGUCCGAUACUAGCGGGCUUGAAUCCGGGAGAGGAAUGCGGAAUUCCAGGUGUAGCGGUGAAAUGCGUAGAUAUCUGGAGGAACACCGGUGGCGAAGGCGGCAUUCUGGACCGGCAUUGACGCUGAUGCGCGAAAGCCAGGGGAGCAAACGGG